GCUCGUAGGUGGUUGAUCGCGUCGGAAGUGUAAUCUUGGGGCUUAACCCUGAGCGUGCUUUCGAUACGGGUUGACUUGAGGAAGGUAGGGGAGAAUGGAAUUCCUGGUGGAGCGGUGGAAUGCGCAGAUAUCAGGAGGAACACCAGUGGCGAAGGCGGUUCUCUGGGCCUUUCCUGACGCUGAGGAGCGAAAGCGUGGGGAGCGAACAGGCUUAGAUACCCUGGUAGUCCACGCUGUAAACGGUGGGUACUAGGUGUGGGGUCCAUUCCACGGGUUCCGUGCNGUAGCUAACGCUUUAAGUACCCCGCCUGGGGAGUACGGCCGCAAGGNUAAAACUCAAAGGAAUUGACGGGGCCCCGCACAAGCGGCGGAGCAUGCGGAUUAAUUCGAUGCAACGCGUAGAACCUUACCUGGGUUUGACAUGGAUCGGGAGUGCUCAGAGAUGGGUGUGCCUCUUUUGGGGUCGGUUCACAGGUGGUGCAUGGCUGUCGUCAGCUCGUGUCGUGAGAUGUUGGGUUAAGUCCCGCAACGAGCGCAACCCUUGUUCACUGUUGCCAGCACGUUAUGGUGGGGACUCAGUGGAGACCGCCGGGGUCAACUCGGAGGAAGGUGGGGAUGACGUCAAGUCNUCAUGCCCCUUAUGUCCAGGGCUUCACGCAUGCUACAAUGGCUGGUACAGAGAGUGGCGAGCCUGUGAGGGUGAGCGAAUCUCGGAAAGCCGGUCUCAGUUCGGAUUGGGGUCUGCAACUCGACCUCAUGAAGUCGGAGUCGCUAGUAAUCGCAGAUCAGCAACGCUGCGGUGAAUACGUUCCCGGGGCUUGUACACACCGCCCGU
rnacentral:rRNA from 1 species